AAAAAGUAUGGAAUCCAAAAUAGGAUGAGGAAAUCAAUAACUUUGCCCAGAGAACUGAUCUUGAUCUAACUCUUGUACAAUUAGUGAUGACUCCAGUGGACUUCCGGGCUUAAAAUCACUGAGAUGUCUGAUAUUUAGUUUGCUUUGAUAUUUUCAUCUUAGAUAAGAAUGUAAUAGAUAUCAGCCACUUUGAGUUCUGUAUUGUCUUUUGAAUUGCUAUAAAGCAAGCAUGAUGGUAGUGCUGGGACAUAAAGUUGCAUUACAGACUUAAUGGUAUCAAAUGAUUUACUGGGAAGCAAGACAGCAAAGCAUCAACCCUGUAUCUCUAUCUAGAAAUUACAGUACAUUCCCAGGCCUAUGCUUCAUACAACAGAAAUUGAACUUUAAGAAGACUCCUGGUAAUGAUGAAAACUCCUGUCUAGCAAUGUAUCACCACUCUAAUGAGUUUUUCUUAUGGUGGCAGUUGUCAUUCUGCUUUUUCUGUGGACACAUCAAAUGAUGUCUACACAGGCUGACACUUGUGACAGGUGCUCAGAUGUUUGCAUCUGUUCUGCACGGCCCUUGCUAAGACUCAGGCUGUGUUUCUUCGUCUACAUGAAACAGUUUAUGAACUCCUCUAGGGAGACACCCCCUCAUUCAUCUCCCAGCUGUACAUAGCAUUCUAUUCAGGUGUCAGAAGUGGAAAUUUUUUGUUCGUUUUCUUGGGAGAUUCUUCCGUAACCUUGUUUUGGUUUAAUUCAGCAGGCAGAGCAGCUGUUUGCUCACUCCCCCCAGUGCAAUGGGGGAGAGAGUCAUGGGCUGAAAUAAAGACAGUUUAAUAGGACAGAAAGGGAAGGAAAAUAAUAUACAAAAUGGGCGAUUGCUCACCAGUUGCUGACUGAUGCUCAGCCAGUCCCUGAGCAGUGGCAGCACCCACCCCCAGCCUACUGUCCCAGUUUUGUUGUUCAGCGUGUUGCCAUGUGAUGGUAUGGAACAUCUCUUUGGACAGUUUAGGUCAGCUGUCCUGGUGCUGUCCCCUUCCAACUCUUUGUGUCCCCCAUUGCUGGCAAGGCAGUAGAAGAAGCUGUAACAUUCUCAGUUCUAUGCAGCACUGCUCAUCAACAGUUAAAAUAGGGAGAGAAUGGCUGCUGGCUGGAUGACAUUAGCAAACAGACCAUCCCUAAUCUGCUCUUCAGCACAUGGCCUACAUCUUGUUGCUAUCAUUCCUCUUUUCUUUGAGUGAAUAACUCUCAUUUCACGAGGCUUUUCUAAGCAGAACCCAUCCUUCAGUAUGCCUGUAUAUACAGCAGUUUUACACAGACUUUUUUCUCUAUGCCCAACACAACGGCAGAAAAUGGAGCUGCUGACACUAACAAGGAAAAAAGGAAGGUGGUCAUUCCUGGAGAAGACGCCUCUCUCUUUAAUAUCCUGACACAGCGAGGUGGUUGCCCACAGAUUAGGAAACUGUUUCCAGAGCUCAUCAUCACCCAAGUGAGGUGGUUGCCACAACAGGUCGAUGGCUAGCUGCGAGGACAUCAAUGGAUGCACAACUUCAAAGUGCUGAGAUGUAAAGCAUACCACACAUAGAUGAGAAAGCUGAAGAGUCUUGUGUGCAGGAAGAAGCGGCAUCUAUAUGUAAUGAAUGUAAUAAGUGCAGACUGAUUAAAUUCAGCAAAUCUAUCUCUAAGAAAAUCAUAUUCUUGAAAUACUUAUCCUAUGCAGCUUUUAAAACAGUUUCUGGCUCUCCCUCUCUGACCUGACGAGUCAUUUCCUUUCAUCUAAUUGUAAUAAAUAUCCGGCUGAACAAAGAGACAAACCUUACUUGAUUUUUGAUGACAAAUCAAAAGUGUGUGCAGGUCUUCAUGAGAGAAUUAAGCAGAUGAUGGCCUGUCCUAUUGCUGUCUGAGAGGGGACAUUUUAUUUGCUGAUCUGAGCGGAGAUGUCUGGGUGCUUAGCCCAUAAUGAAGAUGUGUGGGAGCAUUUCUAUUUCCUUCCUUAAGUGUAAAGCUCAGUGCUAUUAGAGCUUUGAAUUUGCCAGGAGAAGGAGCAAGUAAUCUUGUAGGGUUAAGGAUCUAACUAAAAUUGCCUCUGGAAGUUGCUUCUGGAGGGUCUUUGUUCAGGUGGCCAGAUCAUUCUGCAUGAGGUCUUAAAGUACAAAGACAGAGCUAACAGGGCCAGCUUGCUUUGUGGCAUGUUUGAAGGAGCUGUGCUUGUGAAAAUGAGUACAAGACAAAGAAAUGAAAUAAUGAAAUUCAGAAGUAAAUAUGGGAGGAGCCACACUUCUGAAACUUGUACCUGGGAAGAAGAGAAACAUCACUCCAUGUCAUGAAGGUGUCACAGGCACUUGUCAGCAGACUAGCCCUUUCUUUGUUGAUGUUUUGUGUGAUGCUAACGUGACGGUGAUGACAAGUCACCAUUCUGCUGCAUGAAACUAUGUGGCUGUCACUUGGAAUUCAUCUAUCCUAAGGUAUUUACUAAACACAGUGAAGCUUACAAAUAUCCUCUGGUCAGCACAUUGAAAAGAAGUCUGGAAGCUUACUCACCCAUGAAACACUGUGUAAUUGGGCACUCCAACUAACUCUGAGCAACCUCCUACACUGUAAAUGAUCAGUUUUAAGAUGUUUUAAUGAAGCUUUUUUCUUUUUUUAGCUUAACUCUUUUUUUUUUAUAUAUAUAUCUUUUUUUCUUCAUUUGUAUAAAAUCAUACUAGUGAUUUCCUGUGUAUUUCAUACUCUGUGCCAACUGAGUUUUAACCUAUCAUUUCCAGCACAGAUUAGAAUUAUCUUAUCUAUUUAUACUUAAUUACUGUUUUCUGAGAAAAACAGUAGUCAGUGGUACAUGCACUGACUAAUAGACACUACUGUUUUCUUCCUCUUGUUAUUAUACCUUUCUGGGUCUCUGUUCCCUAUGAAAAUAAUUUUCAGCAGUAAGGGUGAAGAAGUGCCAGUUUCUGCUAGUGGUAGUUUCUUUCAGAUGAAAAUAGGGAAUUACAUAAGAUGACCAGCAGUGAGAAGGGGACUUGUACAGCAGUGGAUUCAGAACAGCUUUGCCUUUACAUAACUCAGCAUUGCUCAAAGCAGUUUCUGACCCCUGAUGUACACUUAGAUGCUUCAGAGGGUGGGAUCAGCUGCCAAUGGAAUUGCAGGAGCCAACCUACGUGAAGAUUUCCAUGGCCAAAGGAAACAUCCAUGUCCUCUAUUCUCUUCAAUUAUUCACUAUUUAUCCUCCCUUCUUGAAAGAAAUUAUCUUGACUUCACAACUUCUUUGCUAUAGGGUGAUCCAAAGAGGUAAACUGUGGAGAAAGAUCCCAGGACAAGAAGUAGUGAAAACUUCAUUCUCUGUCAAUGCAUUUUGAAUGAAAACAACUAAUGUGAUCCUUCCUUUUUCUGUUUAAUGUAGGAGUACUGAAAAUGAGCAUACGUAUUAUCUUAAUUUGUAAUUAUAGAGAGCCUCAGUGUUAACACUUGGAUAUCUUGUAUAUCUACUUCUCUUUGCCUUUUUCAGCAAGAACAACCUUGAUCUGAAGAGUGUGAUCUUCUUAAUUUAAUAUAGGGCUUUUCAGUUUACAUCUGGCAUUGUUUUGCUAGCGAGACUAGUAUGUCUUACUAUCAUCAAAGCAAACAGCUACAGACCUGAGGGAUGGAGGGAUGUUUAGCCCACCAGGAUCUCAGCACACCUCCAUCUGUAAUGGCUGAACUCUGGGAAAGCCUGAAGCUGGACACAAAGCCAGAAGUAAUGAAGCCAGCCAGCAGAGCUCUGGGAAUACCUGCUGCAAAUGUGAGAGUAUUACAAAGCAGAGGCACAGUGCAUCAACACUCUUGGCUCACCAGCCCAUUGGAAAAACUCACACUACAGUGUAACCACAUUCAGAGAGAAAACGAGAUUGAAAGAGAACCAAAUAUUUAAAAACAAGCAUCCGGAUGGUGCCCCCACUGAUAGGCAGGAUUAGAUAGUGGAACAGCAUGCAGUGUUAACUGAUAAUCUGUGGGUGCUGGCAGCAGUUUCUUAGCGAGUUCAUUAUUCUGCACAGUUUUGCUGUUGCAGUUACUGCACUCAUCUCCUUUUUGCCUUACGCAGUUUUUUUUGUUUGCCUGCUUUUUUAAGUCUGAGGUUUUGAAUCUGUUCUCAUCUUCUUUGUCUAAACAUAUCCUUCAUGCCUUCAGGUGUGUUUGUUGAUCCCUUGAACUGAAGCUAGAAAAAAAAAUCUCCUGGAUUAGCAUCAUGUUGCAUCACCUUCAAAGAGGGUGGGAAAGCACAGCUCCUUCUCAUAGCCUUUUGUCCCUGGAUCCCUUCAAGUUUCUGCAGUAACUCAGCAGGCUGAUUUCAUUCCCAUGGUCCUUCCAACAUAGGAGGUUUUUCUUCUCAUUAAUCUAAAGCAACUGUCAGUUUAGGAGAAAAAGCUUUGGUAGUAUUGUUGAAUGGGCAAGAAGUUAAAUCUGAAUUCCUUGAAAUAGAUUCCAGUGAAGUAUAGUGUGUGCCAACUGUCCUACAGCCGUUUGCAGAAACUUGUACUGUGUUUAACAGCAGAUAUAUGUCACAUGGAAAUUACUGCUUCAAUUGAAGCUGGAAUUAGAUUUUGCUUAAAUAUAUGUGAUGGCUUUUGAUUUGCGAUCUUGAGAAGCCAAAAUGUUGAGAUGGUGUCCAAUUUAGACUAGAAAGCUCACAAACAUUACAACUAUUUUACAUCAUCUUCAGAAAAUCUGGUCCUAGGAAGAACUGAAACAUUUCACAGGUCCUCUCUAGUUUUGCUUCUAAGCAGUCACAUGUUCAUCAGUGCUAUUGCUAUGUAUUGCUCUGCGACUCUUCUUGCUUUCUGGGGCCCAAGUAGUAGAUCUCAGGAGAUUGAUGUCCCAGAGCUGUCCUGGAGUACACAGGGCACAAGUCAAUAGAAAUUGCUCACCUCUUGUUUGAGAAAGGGAACAGAAAGUGUGGUAGGAAAAUGAUGGCAACCUGCUUGGUUUUGUGCGGUGUUCGAAGAACAGAAUUCAUCUCAGUCCCAGUCAGUCCCCUUUGCAGAAAAUGGAGAGCGAGCCUGGGCUCAGUGGGGUUUAAGGCAUGAUUCUCCUCCUAAGAGAGAUGUCUUGUACAGCUCAGGCAACCCACACCUGCAGCAAGCCCAAUUCUUUCCUCUGACUGUAUAGACAGCCUCCUAAGCCUUUGGUACCUAUCUGCUCUGGGUCCCACACACAUCAAGCCUAUUACUUGCACACAGUGGCUGUUGAAGCACGUUUAGCUAACGCUAUGCUUGGUAUCUUCAUGUCUUGAAACCUCACAGCUCCACUGCUCCCAGUCAGAGACACAUAUUUUAGCACCAUUUCUCCACAAGCAACCUUUAUUGAAUUUAAAGAGAGCACUGGGUCCCUUCCCUCUCUUUGCCCACUCAGCCUGUUCCUGCUAUGCAAGCAGCCAUUCUGCAGUAAUUCCACAAAGCCAUUGUAGAACAAACCAGCACUUGCUAUUCUGCUGAAUGAGAAAGGAAAAGCAAGGAUUGCCCACAUGGUAUGGAUGACACCAUCGCCUGCCUCUUUGGACCGGUAUGUUCAGGACUUCAUCUUGUUCACAUUGCACUGGGUAGCAGUGGGAACUGGGAAAGUGAGAAACCCAUGAUGUUUAAAGAAUCAGCUGCUUAUAUCUGCUUCAUUUAUGCCAGUUAGGGUCCGCCCUUAGGCUUUUGGAAUAUUCCCAAAUCAGCCUUGAAUAGGACAGCCUUUAAUCAGUUCCACAGAAAUCUAAUGACGCAUAAUUGUAGGUUAUGGCUAGAUACUGGGGUGAGGACAAAUGGAGCAUUAUAAGGAAGCAGAUGUGAACAUGGCUUGGAUAUUUUGUCACUUCAGUGACAGAAGUGGAGACAAGCAUCAAUUGCACAGUUACUGUAUUGUUUUUUCAGACAAUGAUUAUAAUUACAGAGAUGAGCUUCUUGGGGGAUCAAGCACCACAAUUACGGGAUGUUUGUCAUUCGAGCGCUCUUCGCAAAUAACUCGCACACGAAUGUACGCAUCGGUUUGAAUGCUUGGAGCCCAUCCAAAGAUACAAAUGGCUGUAUCGCUUCAUAUUUUAAUUUUAUUACAGCAGAAUGCUCCUGUAUGUAAACUUGACUCUUUCUAGAGUUUUUGCUGCCGUUGACAGCACCGGUUCACUUAGCUCAUUAGAUGGCUUUCAGAUUUUUAGGAUGUGGUGUUUAAAUGCAUUCAUUCAUCCCCACUUUCUCAGGCACCUAUACUCACAUUCUAUUUUUCACUUUGCUGAAAAGAUUGGAAUCAACUCCCACUGUGCCUUCUAUUUCCAGAAGCAGGUUAGCAACUUUAAUUCCUGACCAGCUUCAUCCAUGUGCAGAUGACAGCUCAAAAUAGAAAGAG